CUGCUAUCGGAUUGAUACUAAGCCAUGCGAGUCUUUGUAGUAAUACAAGGCAGACGGCUCAGUAACACGUAGUCAACCUACCCUAUGGACAAGAAUAAUCUCGGGAAACUGGGCAUAAUUCUUGAUAGAUCAUAAUGCCUGGAAUGGUUUAUGGUUAAAAUGAUUCGUCGCCAUAGGAUGGGACUGCGGCCUAUCAGCUUGUUGGUGAGGUAAUGGCCCACCAAGGCGAUUACAGGUACGGGCUCUGAGAGGAGAAGCCCGGAGAUGGGUACUGAGACACGGACCCAGGCCCUAUGGGGCGCAGCAGGCGAGAAAACUUUGCAAUGUGCGAAAGCACGACAAGGUUAAUCCGAGUGAUUUCUGCUAAAGAAAUCUUUUGCCAGUCAUAAAACCACUGGUGAAUAAGGGGUGGGCAAGUUCUGGUGUCAGCCGCCGCGGUAAAACCAGCACCUCAAGUGGUCAGGAUGAUUAUUGGGCCUAAAGCAUCCGUAGCCGGCUUUGUAAGUUUUCGGUUAAAUCCAUGUGCUCAACGCAUGGGCUGCCGAAAAUACUGCAUGGCUAGGGAGUGGGAGAGGUAGACGGUACUCAGUAGGAAGGGGUAAAAUCCUUUGAUCUAUUGAUGACCACCUGUGGCGAAGGCGGUCUACCAGAACACGUUCGACGGUGAGGGAUGAAAGCUGGGGGAGCAAACCGGAUUAGAUACCCGGGUAGUCCCAGCUGUAAACGAUGCAGACUCGAUGAUGCAUUGGCAUAAUAGCCAGUGCAGUGUCGCAGGGAAGCCGUUAAGUCUGCCGCCUGGGAAGUACGUACGCAAGUAUGAAACUUAAAGGAAUUGGCGGGGGAGCACCACAAGGGGUGAAGCCUGCGGUUCAAU
rnacentral:rRNA from 1 species